UACGUAGGUGGCAAGCGUUGUCCGGAUUUAUUGGGCGUAAAGGGAGCGCAGGCGGUGACUUAAGUCUGAUGUGAAAGCCCACGGCUCAACCGUGGAAGGUCAUUGGAAACUGGGUCACUUGAAUAUAGAAGAGGAAAGUGGAAUUCCAUGUGUAGCGGUGAAAUGCGUAGAUAUAUGGAGGAACACCAGUGGCGAAGGAGACUUUCUGGUCUAUUAUUGACGCUGAGGCUCGAAAGCAUGGGUAGCAAACAGGAUUAGA
rnacentral:rRNA from 1 species